rnacentral:rRNA from 1 species
CCUAACCUAUGGACGGGAAUAACCUCGGGAAACUGAGAAUAAUGCCCGAUAGAACAUUAUGCCUGGAAUGGUUUAUGUUCCAAAUGAUUUAUCGCCGUAGGAUGGGACUGCGGCCUAUCAGUUUGUUGGUGAGGUAAUGGCCCACCAAGACUAUUACAGGUACGGGCUCUGAGAGGAGUAGCCCGGAGAUGGGUACUGAGACACGGACCCAGGCCCUAUGGGGCGCAGCAGGCGAGAAAACUUUGCAAUGUGCGAAAGCACGACAAGGUUAAUCCGAGUGGUUUCUGCUAAAGGAACCUUUUGUCGGUCCUAGAAACACCGAUGAAUAAGGGGUGGGCAAGUUCUGGUGU